UUCCACCUUUGUAGUCCGGGCUACGGAAGCCCCGAAGCCCUCCCUCCCGGGUCUCAGAGUUCCACCCGCCCCGGUCGGCCUCAGUUCUCCACCACUGUCCUUGGGUCACAGACAUCAGUGUAGAAUCCCCCCACCUGUGCUCUGAGGAGAGAAUGUUCCAGACCAAAGCUCAGGCCCUGGCAGCCUCCUUCCUGGCCUUCAUGCUGAGUCUCCCAGGAUCUGGUGCCAUCAAAGCGGACCACGUAGCCAUGUAUGACAUAUUUGCACAGACACAAAAGCCCUCGGGUGACUGCAUGUACGAGUUUGACGGCGAUGAGCAGUUCUACGUGGAUCUGGACAGGGAGGAGACGGUCUGGGGCCUACGGGAGUUCAGCACAGUCUAUAGCUUUGAGGCCCAGGGGGCUCUGUCCUAUAUCCUCAGCCUGAAGGACAACCUGAGGGCCCUGCUCCAGAGACACAACAUCACCCGGGUUCCCAGUGAGCCUCCGGAGGUGACCGUGUUCCCCAAGAACCCAGUGGAGCUGGGCCAGCCCAACAUCCUCAUCUGCCACGUGGACAGGUUCUUCCCCCCAAUGCUCAAUGUCACCUGGCUUCGAAACGGGCAUCGGGUCACCGAGGGGACUUCUGAGACCGUCUUCCUGCCCAGCACAGAACUCAGAUUUCAGAAGUUCCACUACCUAACCUUCAUCCCCACGGCCGAGGAUGUGUACAACUGUAGGGUGGAGCACUGGGGCCUGGGCCAGCCGAGCCUCGGUCAUUGGGAAAUGCCGGAGACACUCCAGGUGACCGAGACCAUGGAGAAUGUCGUCUGCGCCCUGGGCCUGCUGGUGGCCUUGGUGGGCAUCGUCAUUGGCGGUGUGCUUAUCGCAGGAGCCCUGCGCCCCGAUCAGGACCCCCUCCCCGGCGUGCCAGGGACCCCUGUGAGUGACUGUGCAGGUGACGAAGUCCAUGCCUGCUGCGCAGAAAGGAGGGAACGUUCGCGCCGGUGAAGGAGACGCGGAUGACAACCCACCGACACCCCAAGGCCGGCUGUUAUCCCUCUUCCAUGUGACGUUGUUUAGUGCGGUCCUGCCCUAAACCAUCCACCAGGCUCUACACCCUCCGGGACACCUGGGUCCUGUCCGACUAUCUCUUCAUUGUUUCACAUGGACCUGGCAUCUCUGAGAGGCACGGACCGCGGUUGCAGAGAGCUGCGCGUGCGCCCGUUCCCUUGCCUGUGGGCUGCCCGUGCGCCGUCGCCACUGCUGUGCUGAUAUCCGGUUUCCCCGUCUCCUGCAGUGUCCACAGCCACGUCCCAGCCUGGCCCUGUCUAGUCUCCCACGGUGUUUAUAUAUAGCCAUGUCUACCAUGGUAUCUCAUGGGUAUUUUUCAAACCCGACCAUUUUUAUUGACGCCUGGAAAUGGAAAUAAGAAGAAUCUGCGCCCACUUUAUGGGUGCUGGGAACCAAACCUGGGUCCUCUGCAAGAGCAGCCGGCGUUCUUAACCUCUGGGCCAUCUCUCCAGCCCUUCCUGGGUUUUUUUGUUUGUUUGUUUGUUUUUGAGACAGAAUCUAGUCUCACAUUUAUGCAGUCUUCCUCAACCUCCUCAGUGUGGGGAUUACAGAUGUGAGUUAUGAUGCCUGACUCAAAGUCUUAUAUUUAGAAAUAAAAACACGCAGGCUGGCAGCCGGGCGUUGGUGGCGCACGCCUUUAAUCCCAGCACUCAGGAGGCAGAGGCAGGCGGAUCUCUGUGAGUUCGAGGCCAGCCUGGUCUACAGUGUGGGUUCGAGGACAGCCAGGGCUGUUGGACAGAGAAACCCUGUCCCGAAAAACCAGCCAGACAAACAAAACCCACAAUGCCGUACUUGGCCACCUCUCUUGAUGAGUUGCCAGGAGGUUCUCGUCUCAAAACCACAAUAGCCUUUGAUAGGGUGUUAAGUUUUGGUUAAUCUUCGUGAACUGAAUAAUUGUUUUUUUAAAGCAAAAUGAUGAAGCUUAAUAAAUUUUUAAACAUAA